rnacentral:lncRNA from 1 species
CCACCUCACUACGGUGGCGCCACCUAGAAUCUUGAAUUCGUAAAAACUAGCCAUGUGAUGUAAAAGAGCUUAUAUGAUUACUGUAUUGUACCAUGCCUGAAGAAGCAAACUUAGUCAUCCUUGAGAAACAGAAAGCUUUAGGCAAUGUCCAAGUUUGAUCCACUACGAUUUACUAAUACCAAGUUAAUUUCAGUUAGCUGUAAAGUAAUUUUAAUCAGUAGUACAGCUCUUGCUAAUUUAUAAUAAACACGUUUUUGUAUGUAAAAAAUUUAGAGCUUAUAACAAUUAAAAAUGUUUUUGGGCACGAAGAAACGUGUUUAUACAUGAGAAAUCAUGGUUGACACUUGCAACUUGAAAAGGUACAGAUUUAACGAUUAAAACUUUCGACGGCUGACUUGGCAAGAAAAAUUUUGUCACGUCAGUAGUGAAAAGUUUUUAUCUUGUCCAUUGAGGAAGGGAGAUUAAGCCUGUUGACAAGAUUUAUUAUUAACUCUUUGAUUAGUUGCUCAAAAUUUUCUAGCGUUGGCAAUGAAAAGUUGUCAAAUAAAAUUAUUUUCUUUCUCAUGGUUACCAGUACCACUUGAAAAAAUAAGGCUAACUUGAAUAAAAUAUUCAAUAGUUAAACAUAUCUAAAUAUGAAUCUUUAUUAUGUUAUAAAUAUGUCCUAUGUAGCAGAAUGUGGGACGACAAGGAAUCACUCAAGUUUUCUAAGUAGCAAGUGUACACAUCUACGCCAUGAAGCCGAGGAGUUUGUCAUAUAGGAAACCAAUUGACCGAAUGUUAACCAAGAUUUGCGUUAAGGACGAGCCACGCACCAGCCGAGGGACGAUUAUCCACACCUGUCCAGCUGGCUCAUGUCUCAUGGAUGAGGCUAAUCGAGAUAGAGUCUUAACUUGUUGUAAUUUAGUUUUAGUUUAUUGUAAUUCCAAAUUUGUAUUUCGCGCCUCCAUUGAAC